AAGACUAUACUUUCAGGGAUCAUUUCUAUAGUUUGUUACAUAGCCUUAAAAAGAAAGGAAAUUCUGGCACAUGCUACAAAACAGAUGAACCUUGAGGGUAUUAUGCUAAGUGAAAUAAGCCAGUCAGAAAAGAACAAAUACUUGAUGAUUCCACUCACAUGAAGUAUCUAGAACAGUCUAAUUUGU
ensembl:snoRNA U3 Small nucleolar RNA U3